UACGAAGGGGGCUAGCGUUGCUCGGAAUCACUGGGCGUAAAGCGCACGUAGGCGGCUUGUUAAGUCAGGGGUGAAAUCCUGGAGCUCAACUCCAGAACUGCCUUUGAAACUGUCGUGCUUGAGGCCGGGAGGGGGUAGCGGAAUUCCCAGUGUAGCGGUGAAAUGCGUAGAUAUUGGGAGGAACACCAGUGGCGAAGGCGGCUACCUGGACCGGUUCUGACGCUGAUGCGCGAAAGCGUGGGUAGCAAACAGG
rnacentral:rRNA from 1 species